GCGUCGGUAGUGCAACGGUUAGCACAGCAUAAGCUCCCAGAAAGAAUGAGAUCUGGGUUUGAAUCCCGGCUGAUGCA